rnacentral:lncRNA from 1 species
AUUAAGGUAACUUGGAGGUCAAUACAAAACAUAAGUAAAUGAUAUAUGAAUACAAAAAGUAUAGAAAACUUGGAAGUUAAAAUGUAAUAUCAAAUAAAAACAAAUUAUUCCACAUGUAAUAUUUAGCAAAUGAUUAUUGAUAGUUGAAAAAAACUUAUGGAUUACGUACGUGUAUCACACACACACGCGCGCAUAGAUGCAAAACAGGUUAGAAAAGAUAAUUUUAGACACUUAGUUGAGUUAGAUUAUGAUCCACCUAACAACUUGGCGAGUUGCCAAGAUCAAUCAACAAGUUCUACAUUAGAUCAUCAACUCAAAAUAAAGUUGCAACAAUCCAGAUCAUGUAAUCUGCGAGUUGUAUUACCGAGCCUUCAAUCAACAAGGCUUCCACAAUUUUGAAUUGGACUGGCCAUGGAUGGACCCAGUGUUUGAUCAACCAAACACCCACACGUGUCCACCCUGAUGGCUCAUCCUCAAUUCUGAGAACCGGACCCGUGCAUCAGGUCCAUGCUUGUAGAUGAACCGGGUCUGGAUGGAGCACAUCAAAAACUUCGUUUAUAGGUUCGACCAGAUUGCCGGCGGCCCGUAACAACAUAAACGUUUAGCGCGUUAUACCGUAAGUUGGCCUAUCAAUCCGACGCUCUCAAUGGAUUCUUCUUCACGGCACAGUGAAUCGGACGGUCCAGAUUAGGAUUUACAUAAAAUCGUUGUUCUCAUCGGCGCAAGAACCGGGCGUUGGACGCCAUAGGGAGCCGGCAGGAAAGAAACCCAGAUCCGACGGCGUCCCGGAUAUUUACUUUUUCCCCUCUCCGAAGAGAUCUCUCCUUUCACCAAAAAAAAAAAAAGAGAUCUCUCCAGGAGUAUUCACGGGAGAAGAAAGGGAAGCCAGAAUGGAGGAAGAAGGAAAGCCAGAUGCCCAGCUAUUCCAGCUUCUAUCCACGCUCCUCCAACAGGUUUCUUCUAUAUAUUCGUCUUUGAAUUAGCUGCUUUUUUUUUCUUUGAUUUUUUUUUUGUUGUUGAUGUCUAAUGGAAAUAUAGGGCCAGGGAUUUUUUUAAUAAAAAAAUUAAUGAUUUAUAUAGUUUUAUUGAAUCCUGAAAAGCUUUAUUACGUGCCCAAGGGUCUUGUCAUGUACUAGGUAUCUCAUUGUUGGGCGUGGAAUAAAGGUUUGUUCCAGCAGUUGUGUCGAGGGCGAUUAAAAAUGUUCAGUUAUUUCUUGUACGAUUCAAAAACGUGUUUUUACACAAUUUGAAGAUUAUUUCCUUUGCAAUUGUUGAUGGUGGACGAUACCUGAAUCGCUUGAUGAAGUGCUUUUGCUUCUUUCUGGAAUCAAGGUUAUGCUGUUUAGGAUCGGUAGGUUAUCUGGAAAAUAAAAUAUUGGAUACGUAUAAUUUACCAGGAUUGUAGAACUUGGAGGAUCAGCUAAUCGAAAUUGCCUCUCCAGUUUUUAGCACUGCUGAUGAUAUAAAGGAGUUCCAUCACUAAAAAAAAAUGAUGUUAAUAAUGUUCUUACAGUAUCAAAGUUAAAUCAAGAAAUUAUCUGUACUUUGGAUGCUUAAAGCAUGUAACAAGAAAGUAGGACCUAUAAAGGGGCUAGCAGAGAGCCCCAGGUAGUUACUAUUUUAUGUACUUAUCAUCUAGAUACAUGGUGACAUAAAUUAUGAAAUAAACAUUGGAAGUUAUGUGCAACUCUAAAGUUUUUUGAUGCACAACAUGGUAGAGUGGUCUUCUCAGUUGCUCACUCUAGGAGAUCAUGAGAAUUGGAAUGCGACAGCUAUUAGAUUAUACAUUAUUGAAGAACUUAUGAUUCCUUUCACUCCAAAUGGGUGGAACAUACCUCCACCCAUCUCAUUGCCAUUCAUUCUUCUGCUUGAAUAUAUAGUCUGAUUGAAUACAUAAUCAGAGUUAGGCCUAGAGAAUAUUCAAUUUAAAGAGGUUUUGCAAGAGCAAUGUUGUUUAUGACUUGGUAAAUGUAUGAUCUGGAGGUCUGGUUUGCUUAUGGUCUAGGAAAAUUUGGUGUUGGGCAUUACUGAUCCAUUUAGCAAUUUGUUACAUGGAGACUCCUCGUACCUUUCCUCAAAGUUGCACUUGCUGAUUGCAGCUUCUCAUUUCCUGUUUUCCUACAAGGUUGAAGGGGAGUGCCUUCAUUUGAUUCGUAGAUAUGUAGUUUGAACUGAAUGAAUUACUAGAAGUUCUGCAGACACCUCCUGUGGCUGGUGAUUCAGGAAAAGAAAAAAAGAAGACAUUUUGUAUAAAAGUCUAGACAUUGAAUAAGUACCAUUCUUUAAAAAAAUGUCCUCUUGUAUUUCACAUGAUUAGACCAUUUGAAUUACUUCUACUGGCUCAUUUUUAACUCUGUCAUUCCUGGUUUUAAUAAGCACAAGCACAAAUGCCUUAUGACCUUUUGAUCUCCUUUAGAAUAUAUUUAAGUUGCAAAAAACUUCUUUGUUGCACAACAAUCUUGAUCCAUGCAAUUUUGGAAUCCUAUGUGAUAUACUGAAUUAUAUCCUUAUUAAUAUGUAUUUCAUGAUAAUAAAAAUAUCUUUUCAUUGAUAUUAUCUAAAGCCUCAUGCUUGUAUGGCAUUCCAGCGACAUUGUGUUCUGUAUGCUUAGUUCUGAUUCUUGUUAGACACUCUGAUUUGGGUCAUUUUUAUAUGCAUCAAUUACCCAUCCCCUUGCCUCAUCAAACAAAUAAUACAUCAACUGUGAAUACCAUACAUCAAGAUAUGGGAUAUAUGCUAUCAUCCGAUUUAUUUCUAAGUGCAAAUGAAGGUUGAUAGUACAAGUUGCCAUAUCCAGCACAAGCAAAAUUGCCAUUGGCAUUAUGUGCCAAAUACUAACGUGAUAUACUACACUUAAAAGAAAUAAAGCAAGGAGACACUCAAUAUACGUAGGAUGCACCUGAUAUACACUUAUUAUCCUCUUUUGUGGUUCUGUACUAGAAGUGCUAGAAAGAGGAAAACAUAAUACACAUUGUCAGAUAUAGGCAUAGUGCAAAAUGAUGCUAUGGAGCAUAAGUAUUAAAAAGAAUAUAAAGCAUCAGAGCAUGGUUUAUCAGAAGAAGCUACCAAUCAAUGAUCCCUAUGAUUGAGGCAGUAGUAACUAGUAACACAAAAUUUUUUUUGCCCUUAAUAAGAUGUUGGUAGAGCCUCCAAGUAUUUAUAUUUUCUCUUUGAGAAGCUUUUCCUUUCUUUCUACAUUUUCCAAUAAAUCAACAAAUAAUGAGCGGAACAUUGCCAAUGCCUCAUUUUAGAGAAGAUGAAAGGAGACUAUGCCGCAUAUUAAGCUACUCCAUGAAUGCAGUCAUUGGGUAAAAUAGUAUAGGUAGGUCCCAAUCUAUUCCAAAUUGUCCGGUUACUAUCAUAUUAAAGCAAAAUUGUGAGGAAAAUUUUCAUUAUCCAACUCACAAAUAUGGAAAACACUAACGCCAUCAAUUCCUUUGGGCCUCUAAUAUGUACAAAGGAUGCUACCCUCUAUCAUUUGAUCAUUAAGAGACCUACUAGGAACAAACUGGUAAUCUGUAAUUAAGAGCUGUAUAUUAGUAGACAUAACAAUAACCAUUGAAUAUGUCCCAACUAUUUGGGGUUUGGCCUUAUGAAUCUUCAUUUGCAAAGCAUUCCUGCCCAAGGCUACCUCUGAUGUUCUUGUAAACAAUUCUACAUCCUUUUCUCACAAUUUCCGUAUGUGUUACCUUAUGUCUUCCCCUCCUCUUGACACAUCCUUAGGCAAAGAUUAAAGUAUUCCUUAUUGAAGCCACCUUAAAUCUUCAUUCUAUAUGCCCAUAUCAUCCUAAUCGACUCUCCAAUAUUUUGUCCUCAAUUUGCACAACUUCAACUGUUCAAGAGAAAUAUAUUGAUGAAGGGGGGAGCCUUACAUAUCAUUAAAUGACACAUAUUGAAGGUGGUGAACUAUAUCCAAAUGGUACUAA